rnacentral:lncRNA from 1 species
UGCUGCUGAUGGUGAUGGUGAUGGUGAUGCUAUGCUGAUGCUGAUGGUGAUGGAUGUGGGGUGUGGUGGGGAUGGGUGAAUAGAUGAGUGGGUGGACAAAUGAUGUGUUGAUAGAAGGAACAAAGGAGGAGGAGGAGGAGCAGAAAGAGGACGAGGAGGACGAGGAGGAGGAGGAAAAGGAGAAGGAGGAAGAGGAGGAAGAUGAGGCCUGUGGAGAAGAGAGACCAGGGUCCUAAGGCCAGUCUGUAGAGGGCCCGAGGUCUUUGGGCUUCCAGGAGACAGAUCAUCAGCUGCCGUGCGUCUCUUCUUUUGUGGAAGUCUCGUUGUCCGGGUCAUCUGGCUAAUCACCUAUCCUCUAUUCCGACACUCCUGGUGGAAAGAUUUACUCCUUAUUCCUAGCCGUGUCUCCUGGCGGUGCACACUGAGCCCUAUGGCCACAGGCUUAGAUGACAAGAUCCAGGAAGUCAGGCCCAGCCUUGAAAGGAUGCUCUCUUUGAGCAUGAACUUGUCCCAGGCCUAAUUUUGCUGCUACUAUGAUUAUGUGCUUAUAAGGCAUGGAAGCUCACUCACUAUCCUCCUUCUCUCAACAAUGUAGCUCUUGCCGUUUACUGAGGAAAGGCUACAUUCUAUUCUCCAUCCUGACUUUAGACUUUCUGUACCAAAUGACAAAUGAGAGAAAGUGAGAGAGACAGAGUGAGAGAGAGAGACAGAGAGAGAGGGGGAGGCAGAGAGAGAGAGAGAGGUUAUGUGAAAGCUGCAGGAAGGAAAAUUCUUACACACAAAGCUUAAAUUUUUAUACAGAAGUUUUAAAGUAGACAAAAUAAAGUCAUAAUCAUUUCACUAAUGUUCUAGUAUUAUACAGAAAUGAAAUACAGCAAACUUAAGAUUAAAAGUGUGGAGUGGUAUGCUAGCCAAGCCUGAAAACCUAAGUUUGUUUUUUAGAGCCCACAUGAUUGAAGGAGAAAAUUGACUCCUUCAGGUUAUCCUCUGAACUCCACAUUCACUUCAUGGCAUAUGUGUAUGGACACACCCAAACAAAUAAUAUAAAUAGCAAAGAAUGAGGUAAUGGAUGCCAGAAACUGGCAGAGGUUGUAAAACUAGUUAAUGUUCAAUAAGAGGCAUACAUAUUAAGUCUGUAUUGACUCUAGUUAACAAUCCAUUUUUGCAGUUACAGGGAAAAAGAAAACACGUUUGAAAGUGAUGACUGCUUUUCUCUGGUGCAAUGACUCCACAAUGUACUCAUGGGUUGAAAUUCCAAAUUGUAUCCCAUCCUCUAACUUGUCUUGUUUUGCAAAAAAUAAUUUUAAUAAACACAGUUUUAUAUUGUAUCCUGUUGUUCUCUUUCCCUUUAGGUAGUGUAUUUGAGGAUGAAGGUGAUGCUGAUCUCGUGUUGUCUAGAAUGGUGUGGAAGGAACUCCCAGACUUAAGAGCUCUUUUCUCUGCAGCCUCCCAGGACUUAAGCCCCAUGCACCGAAGUACCUGACUACCAACAUGAAUUAUGUGUUUAGUUGAUAGCGUGGAUAUUUAGGAGAGAAAUCAUUCAUUAGCUGUUUCAAAAGCACUUCACAGACUGGCAAGAUGGAUCAGCAGGGAAAGGCAUCGUUUGGUCUGCAAGCCUCGCAAGCUGAGUUUAAUCCCUAGAGCUCACAGAACUGCAGAAGAGAACCAACUUCUCACAGUUGUCCAUCUG